rnacentral:lncRNA from 1 species
GCCACUUGUGGGGCCUCAGAUUGGAGGGCACCUAGAUGAGUGACAGGCAGCGUGCACCCGGGCAGACAGGCGCUGGGGGGACUGUAUGUGAGUAUGCAUGUGGCAGGGGGUGGGGGGGGCGCCUCCUGCCGCACUGUCCGCCGGAGAUGGGGGGCGAGUUUCGCGGUGACGCGCGGCCCUCACGUGACCCGGAGCUGCAGAGCGACGCAGCCUAGGGUGCAGUCGUCACUCGCGUCUGGCUACCAGCUCCCCGCUGCCCUGCGCACGGCGGGCUGGCAUCCGGCCCGGGGAAAGCGGAGCAGCUUCUGCAGGUCUGCAGGGCCCAGUGUCGCGGCGGCGCACCUGGCGGCGAGAAUCUGGAGGAGGAGGAGAAGGCAAGGAUAGGCCCAGAAAAAC